CGCAACCUCGCUGUGUGUUAUAUGUGUCGACACGGGACCGCCGGUCUUAAGCCGGAGGAAGGUGGGGAUGAUGUCAAGUCAGACAUGGCCUUUAUAUCCUGGCUACACACACGCUACAAUGGCCAGCACAGUAGGUUGCUAAGCCGCGAGGUGGAGCCAAUCCAUAAAGCUGGUCUCAGUUCAGAUUGCAGGCUGCAACCCGCCUGCAUGAAGAUGGAGUUGCUAGUAACCGCAGGUCAGCUAUACUGCGGUGAAUACGUUCCCGGGGCUU
rnacentral:rRNA from 1 species